ensembl:lncRNA
GAACUACCAAAAUGUUUGUAAGGGGGUGGUGACUUUCUAUACAAAGUGUAUAAAACCUUUUUUGAAAGGAAGUAGGGUUUCAUGGAAAUUGUGGUUGUGGGUUAGUUUAAAAUGAAAUAUGAAGCUGUGCAUUGUCAAACUUAACCAGUGAUUAUGGAGAGCACCUUUUGUUUCAGCAUACAUAGAAUGGGAUGUCUUUGGUUUAUUUGGAUGAUUUUGUUCAUUAUCAAGACAAAUCAAUCAGUGAAAUCUGAGUUUCAAGUGGUUCAGCUUGGAGAUCAUACCAUUUUGCCCUGUGACAUCUCUUACCAUUACGACAUAACGUGGUUGAAACACCAGCCUGACAAAACUCCUGUCAUUGUGUUGAUUACAAGUAUAAUCAAUGGGAAUAUAAUCAAUCAGCAACAACACAAUCAUCGUUUCAAGGCAGAGAUUUGGAACAGGUCACUGGCAUUGAAAAUCAGUACUCUCCAAGAUGCAGACAGUGGAUUUUAUUUUUGCAUGGGAAAGGUUGGGAAAACAAUGACGGUUGGAAGAGGAACCUUACUUCAUGUGUCACAUGUGAUGUCUACUGGCACCUCGGGGCUCACCUUCAUUCAUCUGUAUACAACCGCAGUUGGACUUGGUCUGAUGGGAAUGAUACUAGCAGUUUUCAUUGCUCAUUACACGGCCAAAAAAAGAAACAGGACAAUCUGACCAAAGAAGUGGCGCUGUGUGCUCUUAUCUUACUCCGUGUUUUUCCGUGUCUGUUAACAGUAACCUACACUCACCUAAAGGAUUAUUAGGAACACCAUACUAAUACUGUGUUUGACCCCCUUUCGCUUUCAGAACUGCCUUAAUUCUACGUGGCAUUGAUUCAACAAGGUGCUGAAAGCAUUCUUUAGAAAUGUUGGCCCAUAUUGAUAGGAUAGCAUCUUGCAGUUGAUGGAGAUUUGUGGGAUGCACAUCCAGGGCACGAAGCUCCCGUUCCACCACAUCCCAAAAAUGCUCUAUUGGGUUAAGAUCUGGUGACUGUGGGGGUAAUUUCAGUACAGUGAACUCAUUGUCAUGUUCAAGAAACCAAUUUGAAAUGAUUCGAGCUUUGUGACACGGCCCAUUCUCCUCUGACCUCUAGCAUCAACAAGGCAUUUUCGCCCACAGGACUGCCGCAUACUGGAUGUUUUUCCCUUUUCACACCAUUCUUUGUAAACCCUAGAAAUGGAUGUGCGUGAAAAUCUCAGUAACUGAGCAGAUUGUGAAAUACUCAGACCGGCCCGUCUGGCACCAACAACUAUGCCACGCU